rnacentral:rRNA from 1 species
AGAGUUUGAUCCUGGCUCAGAACGAACGCUGGCGGCAGGCUUAACACAUGCAAGUUGAACGGGAUUGUUAAGUAGCUUGCUAUUUAACAAGAGAGUAGCGCACUGGUGAGUAACACGUGGGAACGUACCUUUUGGUGGGGGACAACAUCUGGAAACGGAUGCUAAUACCGCAUAAGACCUGAGGGUGAAAGAUUUAUCGCCGAAAGAACGGCCCGCGGAAGAUUAGGCAGUUGGUGGGGUAAAGGCCUACCAAACCUACGAUCUAUAGCUGGUCUGAGAGGACGAUCAGCCACACUGGAACUGAGACACGGUCCAGACUCCUACGGGAGGCAGCAGUGAGGAAUAUUGGUCAAUGGGCGAGAGCCUGAACCAGCCAAGUCGCGUGAGGGACGAAUGGUCUAUGGCCUGUAAACCUCUUUUGUCAAGGAAGAAUAAAUCGCACGGGUGCGAUCUUGCCAGUACUUGACGAAUAAGCAUCGGCUAACUCCGUGCCAGCAGCCGCGGUAAUACGGGGGAUGCGAGCGUUAUCCGGAUUUAUUGGGUUUAAAGGGCGCGUAGGCGGGACGUCAAGUCAGCGGUAAAAGACUGCAGCUAAACUGUAGCACGCCGUUGAAACUGGCGCCCUGGAGACGAGACGAGGGAGGCGGAACAAGUGAAGUAGCGGUGAAAUGCAUAGAUAUCACUUGGAACCCCGAUAGCGAAGGCAGCUUCCCAGGCUCGUUCUGACGCUGAUGCGCGAGAGCGUGGGUAGCGAACAGGAUUAGAUACCCUGGUAGUCCACGCCGUAAACGAUGCUCACUGGAUCUUGGCGAUACACGGCCAGGGUUCAAGCGAAAGUAUUAAGUGAGCCACCUGGGGAGUACGUCGGCAACGAUGAAACUCAAAGGAAUUGACGGGGGCCCGCACAAGCGGAGGAACAUGUG